AUUGAACGCUGGCGGCAUGCUUUACACAUGCAAGUCGAACGGUAACAGGCCUUCGGGUGCUGACGAGUGGCGAACGGGUGAGUAAUGCAUCGGAACGUGCCCAGAGGUGGGGGAUAACGCAGCGAAAGCUGUGCUAAUACCGCAUGUGAUCUGAGGAUGAAAGCGGGGGACCAGGCAGCAAUGUUUGGCCUCGCGCCUUUGGAGCGGCCGAUGUCAGAUUAGGUAGUUGGUGGGGUAAAGGCCUACCAAGCCGACGAUCUGUAGCUGGUCUGAGAGGACGACCAGCCACACUGGGACUGAGACACGGCCCAGACUCCUACGGGAGGCAGCAGUGGGGAAUUUUGGACAAUGGGCGCAAGCCUGAUCCAGCAAUGCCGCGUGCGGGAAGAAGGCCUUCGGGUUGUAAACCGCUUUUGUGCGGAACGAAAAGGCUCUGGCUAAUACCUGGGGCUGAUGACGGUACCGUAAGAAUAAGCACCGGCUAACUACGUG
rnacentral:rRNA from 1 species